CAGCCGCCGCGGUAAUACGUAGGUGGCAAGCGUUGUCCGGAAUUAUUGGGCGCAAAGGGCUCGCAGGCGGUUUCUUAAGUCUGAUGUGAAAGCCCCCGGCUCAACCGGGGAGGGUCAUUGGAAACUGGGAAACUUGAGUGCAGAAGAGGAGAGUGGAAUUCCACGUGUAGCGGUGAAAUGCGUAGAGAUGUGGAGGAACACCAGUGGCGAAGGCGACUCUCUGGUCUGUAACUGACGCUGAGGAGCGAAAGCGUGGGGAGCGAACAGGAUUAGAUACCCCUGUAGUCCCUGUCUCUUAUAC
rnacentral:rRNA from 1 species